rnacentral:siRNA from 1 species
AUAACUCGACGGAUCGCA